GUUGCGGUAAAAAGCUCGUAGUUGGAUUUCUGUUGAGGACGACCGGUCCAUACCACGUAUGCGCAUCUGGCUCGGCCUCGGCAUCCUCUCGAAAGACGUUUCUGCGCUUGAUUGCGUGGAGCGGAUCUCGGGACUUUUACUUUGAGGAAAUUAGAGUGUUCACGGCAGGCUAUCGCCAGAAUACAUUAGCAUGGAAUAAUACUAUAGGAUCUCGGUUCUAUUUUGUUGGUUUCUAGAAUUGAGAUAAUGAUUAAUAGGGACAAUUGGGGGCAUUCGUAUCAACACGUCAGAGGUGGAAUUCUUGGAUUGUGUUGCGACGAACUACUGCGAAAGCAUUUGCCAAGGAUGUUUUCAUUGAUCAAGAACGAAAGUAAGGGGAUCGAAGACGAUUAGAUACCUUUUUAGUCUUUACCAUAAACUAUGCCAACUAGAGAUGGGACAUCGUUCACUUACGACUUGUUCCGCACCUUAUGAGAUAUCAAAGUCUUUGGGUUCCGGGGGGAGUAUGGUCGCAAGGCUGAAACUUAAAGGAAUUGACGGAAGGGCACCACCAGGAGUGGAGCCUGCGGCUUAAUUUGACUCAACACGGGGAAACUCACCAGGUCCAGACAUAAUAAGGAUUGACAGAUUGAUAGCUCUUUCUUGAUUUUAUGGGUGGUGGUGCAUGGCCGUUCUUAGUUCGUGGAGUGAUUUGUCUGCUUAAUUGCGUUAACGAACGAGACCUUAACCUGCUAAAUAGGAUCACCUAUCUCCGGAUAAGUGACUUUCUUCUUAGAGGGACUUUAUGCGUUUCAGCAUGAGGAAGUUUGAGGCUAAAACAGGUCUGUGAUGCCCUUAGAUGUUCUGGGCUGCACGCGCGCUACACUGAUGCGUUCAACGAGUGUACAACCUUGCCCGAUAGGGUUGGGUAACCUUUUG
rnacentral:rRNA from 1 species